ensembl:rRNA 5S_rRNA 5S ribosomal RNA
GUCUACGACCAUACCACCCUGAAUGCACCAGAUCCUGUCUGUUCUCUGGAAGCUAAGCAGGGUCGGGUCUGGUUAGUAGUUGAAUGGGAGACUCCUGGGAAUACCGGGUGCUACAGGCG